GUCCCCAGUUUGAUCCUGGCUCAGAACGAACGCUGGCGGCGCGCUUAACACAUGCAAGUCGAACGAGAAGGCGUAGCAAUACGCUUGUAAAGUGGCGAACGGGUGAGUAACACGUGGGUAACCUACCCUCGAGUGGGGAAUAACCCGCCGAAAGGCGGGGCUAAUGCCGCGUACGCUUCCAGUCCUCGGGGUUGGAAGGAAAGCCGUAGCUAGGCUAUGGCGCUCAAGGAUGGGCUCACGUCCUAUCAGCUUGUUGGUAGGGUAACGGCCUACCAAGGCUCCGACGGGUAGCUGGUCUGAGAGGACGAUCAGCCACACUGGCACUGCGACACGGGCCAGACUCC
rnacentral:rRNA from 1 species